CCCUCUUGAUCCCAUUUCCCAAAAAAAUGAUUUUUUUGAGAUCUUACCAUCUCCUGGCUUGGUGCAGAGUACAGGAAAUCAAGACAAAGUACAGCACACAAGGAAUAAGGAGGGAGGGAAGCGUGGGGGAGGCUGACACUGUGGACUCUCCCAGCUCAGUCGACCCAUGCGCCUUGCUUCAUGGAAGAAAGGAAUGGAAGAUGAGUCAUGCCUUCAGCACACAGUGACCUUCCUCACUAGUAAAUGUGCCUCUAGAAGUGUCCAAGAACUCACUGCCAGAGCCAGGCUGCCUGCAUUAGAAUCACCUGAGAGCUUUUGCAAACAUAGGCCCCUACUGGGUCCAAAUGCAUUCAUCUCUUGGAGAGGAGGAGAGAGGCAGAACAAGGAAAAGGAUGGGAAGAAACCAGCCUUGUGCACAGGAGGAUGCUGGGACUCCUCCCGCAAGUUUAGCGCAAUGCAGCCUAUUUUACAAGGUCACAGAAGCUCAGAGAGGUAAACCUGCCCAGGUUCUCCUAGCUUGUAACUGGCAAAACCCGCCCAAGUCUCUGUCUCUAGAGAUAUUUCCACUUGCUUCAACUCUGGAGCUGUCUUAGUUGUAAAGAUGACAGAUUCCACUCAUCACUCACUUUUGUUUGCAGAUAUUGCCUAAGGUCCCUUGUGAAUAUUUAGGUCAGGGCUGUUUUUUUGAGUUUUUUGUUUGUUUGUUUGCUUCUUGUUUUUUUUACAAAGCAAUCUUGUGGAAAGAACCCAAAGUGGCUCCCCCAUUUAAGACCCUGUAAACAGGGAGACGAGAGUCCUGGUCUGGUUUCCACACAUUCCUUAGAUUUCCCUGUGUGUAAAAUCCAACAACAAUCUUUGACAAAUUGCCUCCCCUAGGGGAGAGAUGGAGGAAGUGUUAACUUUGCUUUUUUUUUUUUUUUUUUUUUUUUUUUUCUGUUUUCAGACAGAGCCUCGCUCUGUCGCCCAGGCUGGAGUGCGGUGGUGCCAUCUCGGCUCACUGCAACUUCUGCCUCCUGAGCUCAAAUGAUUCUUGUGCCUCAGCCUCCUGAGUAGCUGGGACUACAGGCAGACGCCACCACACCUGGCUAAUUUUUGUAUUUUUAGUAGAGAUGGGGUUUCACAUAUUGGCCAGGCUGGUAUCAAACUCCUGGCCUCAAGUGAUCCAACCCCCUAAGCCUCUCAAAGUGCUAGGACUACAGGCAUGAGCCACCCUGCCCAGCCAAUUUGCUAUUUUUUUUUUAAUAGACAGCUUCGAGGUCCAGUAUGAUUUCACAGAUUAGGAAACAUCACAGACAAAGAAGAACACUUUGCAUUCAAAUAGCAGAAUGUUUUCAUUUUCAAAGAGCUCUCACCUGCCAUCUAAUCUUGUCUGCCUAGCAGUCCUGGGAGAGAAGCAGAUGUGGUUUCCAAUCCCACUUUCCAGAAGAGGAGACUGAGGCAGAGGCUUUGCAGAUACACAGAGGACAUGUGAGGACAGGUGAAGGUCAUGAUCAUUGUCAGCCCCCUCCCCCAACUGGACAUUCCCAGAUCUGGUGGACUUCCAGCCAGUGGAGACAGAAAGACUGGAUCACUCAACUCUGCCAUGGGUGCCAGGACCCAAUUUUUCCCUUGCUAACUCGGUCACCUCCUGUCUGGGAUCUCCAACUACUACCCAUCCCAGAAGUCUCAGCUAAAACAGCAAUUCAACGGGGAACUUUUUUCUGAGGCUCCAGGAUUGGGCCAGGCCCUCUCCAUGGCUUUCUGCCCUUCCCCUAUUGCAGAACUUAGCACUUGUAUGUCACUAUUGGUUAAAACAUGUGCCUUUCGUAUGCUCUCCAUGUUAUCUGCAGCAUCUGCCAAGAAUAAUAAUGAAUGGUAAAACCUAAUCUCUAUUGAGUGUCGAUGAUGCACUUUUAAUGUGACAUCUUAUUUAAUCCUCACUAUAUCUGCAAGAGUAGAAGCUAUUAAUAGCCAAUUUUCAGAUAAGAAAAUCAAAGCACAGUUUCUAUAACUUGCCCAAGCAGCUAGCUAGGAGGCAGCUCAAUUUGAGCCCAGGGAAUCAGAUUCCAGAAACCAUGUUCUCAAUUACUAGAGCAGAUACCUCCCCAGAAUCUAGUAGGUGGUUAAUGAGUCUUUGUGGAAUAAAUGAACAGAAGGACAAGCAGUGGAUGGAUACAUGGGUGGGAAGCAGGCUGUAGUAAUGGGGAAAAAUUCUAAGCAAUCUCGAACACAGAAAAGAAACUGAACAGGUAAGAGAGAGGCACUCAAGAGAAGAAGUGUGAAUUUUGCAUAACUGAAGCUGAAGAAGAGCGGGGGGCAUGGCAGACCACAAGAUAAAUAUGAUAUAGACUCCUUUUUAAAAAAGUAUAAACACCCACCCUUUCCUACAGACAACUGUGCUUCAAAUAUUGCUAAGGUCUUUACUAAAGGCAAGUCAGAAAAACUGAGUAUUUUAUGCAAUACAGUAAGAAGGCCCAUAGGCAAGCAUGGUCCUGACACCACCUUCUAGGAUAACCCCUGGGAUUCUGGCUACACCUGUCCUAAAAUUGUCUCUCACUCCUGCUGUUGGAGAGCUACCAUGAGAGAAGAACCAUACUGAAGUGGUUAAGAGUGUGCACCCAGCGACCAGCCAGAUCGCUUCAAACCAUCACUAUCUAAUACUGAGCAAGUUACACAAUGUUCCUGAGCCUCAACUUUCUCAUCUGUAAAAUGGGUAUGCCGUCAUUCAUUAAUCAAAUUCUAGGUAAGCAUAUACUAAACACCAGAGACACAAAUGAGAAUCACGAACAGGCAUGGCCCUGGCCCUCACGGUGACCACAGUCUUGAAGGGGAAGGAUGACACGCACAGAAACAGGAAGCCGUAGCUGAGCUAGUGUCUACCACAGAGAGGCACCUGGUGUCAUGAAAGCAGAUAACAGGGGGUUGCUGUGACUGAGUCAGUGUGGCCAGGCGUCCCUGAGGAUGUAGUGACUCCACUGUCAGAUGAGACCGUGACCAGGUGAAGAGGCAGGGAGAGGGAAAAUCUUUCCAGGAAGAAAGAGCCCGAUAUGCAAAGGCCCUGUGGCAGGAAAAGAGCAAAGGAAGUUCAAGAGCCUGAAAGAGGCCAGAGAGAACAAGUGAACAUGUGGAUAAUCACAGCACCGACCUCAUACAGGACUUGCAAGAAAUCGAGACCCUCUCUGUAACAGAUUCAGCAAUGACUAAAUAGAAACUAUCUCCUAAAAGCACACGAUGAGGCUCUUCGGUGGUAUUUCCCAUGUGAGGCUGCCAUGGACUCAGAGGCCAAGUUCAACCUGCCUGUAGACAACCUCCAAGCCAGCUGGACACACAUACACCCUCAGGCUCAGGAUACCCAGGACAGAGUCCUAGAUGCUUGAAGUCAUGAUAAGUAUCCAGAAUGACACAGAAUUCCAGCCAGGCAUGGUGGCUCACGCCUGUAAUCCCAGCACUUUGGGAGGCCGAGUUGGAUCACCUGAGGUCAGGAGUUCCAGACCAGCC
rnacentral:lncRNA from 10 species